GGAGGAAACGCAGUUGAGGAGGGAAAACUAUUUUUAUUCUUCAUUGAAUUAUAAUGUUAUAAAGGAGUUUAGGGAAACGUUUUUUUUUCUCUCCAUGAAAUAAGAAUAUUAUAUCAAGGAGGUCUGGGAAGGUGUGAUGUAGUUAAUGGAGAUGGAGGUGUGUUUUAGGAGGUCUGGGCAGGUGUGAUGUAGUUAAUGGAGAUGGAGGUGUGUUUUAGGAGGUCUGGGCAGGUGUGAUGUAGUUGAUGGAGGUGUGUUCUAGUGGGUCUGGGAAGGUGUGAUGUAGUUGAUGGAGGUAUGUUCUAGUGGGUCUGGGAAGGUGUGAUGUAGUUAAUGGAGAUGGAGGUGUGUUUUAGGAGGUCUGGGCAGGUGUGAUGUAGUUGAUGGAGGUGUGUUCUAGUGGGUCUGGGAAGGUGUGAUGUAGUUGAUGGAGGUGUGUUCUAGUGGGUCUGGGCAGGUGUGAUGUAGUUAAUGGAGAUGGAGGUGUGUUUUAGGAGGUCUGGCCAGGUGUGAUGUAGUUGAUGGAGGUGUGUUCUAGUGGGUCUGGGAAGGUGUGAUGUAGUUGAUGGAGGUGUGUUCUAGUGGGUCUGGGAAGGUGUGAUGUAAUUAAUGGAGAUGGAGGUUUGUUCUAUUGGGUCUGGGCAGGUUUGAUGUAGUUAAUGGAGAUGUGUUCUAGUGGGUCUGUGCAGGUGUGAUGCAGUUAAUGGAGAUGGAGGUGUGUUCGAGUGGGUCUGGGCAGGUGUGAUGCAGUUAAUGGAGAUGGACGUGUGUUCUAGUGGGUCUGGGCAGGUGUGAUGCAGUUAAUGGAGAUGAUGGGGGUGUUCUAGUGGGUCUGGGCAGGUGUGAUGCAGUUAAUGGAGAUGGACGUGUGUUCGAGUGGGUCUGGGCAGGUGUGAUGCAGUUAAUGGAGAUGGACGUGUGUUCUAGUGGGUCUGGGCAGGUGUGAUGCAGUUAAUGGAGAUGAUGGGGGGUGUUCUAGUGGGUCUGGGCAGGUGUGAUGUAGUUAAUGGAGAUGGAGGUGUGUUCGAGUGGGUCUGGGCAGGUGUGAUGCAGUUAAUGGAGAUGGACGUGUGUUCUAGUGGGUCUGGGCAGGUGUGAUGCAGUUAAUGGAGAUGAUGGGGGGGUGUUCUAGUGGGUCUGGGCAGGUGUGAUGUAGUUAAUGGAGAUGGGAGGGUGUUCUAGGGGGUCUGGGAAGGUGUGAUGCAGUUAAUGGAGAUGAUAGUUAAUGGGGGGUGUUCUCGUGGGUCUGGGCAGGUGUGAUGAAGUUAAUGGAGAUGGAAGUGUGCUCUAGUGGGUCUGGGCAGGUGUGAUGAAGUUAAUGGAGAUGGAUGUGUGCUCUAGUGGGUCUGGGCAGGUGUGAUGAAGUUAAUGGAGAUGGAAGUGUGCUCUAGUGGGUCUGGGCAGGUGUGAUGUAGUUAAUGGAGAUGGAGGUGUGUUCUAGGGGGUCUGGGCAGGUGUGAUGUAGUUAAUGGAGAUGGAGGUGUGUUCUAGUGGGUCUGGGCAGGUGUGAUGAAGUUAAUGGAGAUGGAAGUGUGCUAUAGUGGGUCUGGGCAGGUGUGAUGUAGUUAAUGGAGAUGGAGGUGUGUUCUAGGGGGUCUGGGCAGGUUUGAUGUAGUUAAUGGAUAUGGAUGUGUGCUCUAGUGGGUCUGGGCAGGUGUGUUGUAGUUGAUGGAGGUGUGUUCUCGUGGGUUUGGGCAGGUGUGAUGUAGUUAAUGGAGAUGGAGGUGUGUUCUAGGGGCUCUGGGCAGGUGUGAUGUAGUUAAUGGAGAUGGAGGUGUGUUCUAGUGGGUCUGUGCAGGUGUGAUGUAGUUAAUGGAGAUGGAGGUGUGUUCUAGUGGGUCUGGGCAGGUGUGAUGUAGUUAAUGGAGAUGGAGGUGUGUUCUAGUGGGUCUGGGCAAGUGUGAUGUAUUUAAUGGAAAUGGGAGUGUGUUCUAGUGGGUCUGGGCAGGUAUGAUGUAGUUUUAUGGAGGAGUGUUCUCGUGGGUCUGGGCAGGUGUGAUGUAGUUAAUGGAGAUGGAGGUGUGUUCAAGUGGGUAUGGGCAGGUGUGGUGUAGUAAAUGGAGAUGGAUGUGUGUUCUAGUGGGUCUGUGCAGGUGUGAUGCAGUUAAUGGAG